rnacentral:misc_RNA from 1 species
CAUCAUCAUCAUCUCCUCAUCAAGAAGCUUCAAGCCUAGUACCUCUGGACCACAACCGUCCCUUAUUAUUAUGCUCUGGCAAUGGUUUAAGCCUAGAAAAAGAGGAAGGGAUUCUUGCACAAGACUAUGGAUUUGGGUUCCCUUAUGAGCCACUUACUGACCUUGGCUUCCAAGGAAAAUGUUUCACUGGUGAAGUUGCUCAAGCUUUAGGUAAUAAUUAAUGUAUCACCUUCUCACCCCUGGCUAAUCAGCUGGCUAGCUAACUAUUAAUAAUUAAAAAUUUAGGGAGAAAGAAGGAUGAUAUUUGUAUAUUGUACUCUUUCAA